AUCAAUUCAUAGUGAAAAAAUGAAGUAUAGCUUGUGAAAAUGGCGCCAACGCAUGAAAUUCAAGUUCAAUCGAAAAUAUGCGCAUAAACAGCGCCAGAAUCGGAAAGUUUGAUUUCCCGCGUAAGUCAGGUUACAGCGCCCGCAUAAACCCGACGGCGAAAACUUGCAUUACAAACUCAGGUUUCGUGAAACCUCGGUUUCGAGCCUCGCAUAAACGUAGCUAUUAACUAGGUAUUUCAUUAUAAAUUAAAAUUUCCGAAAUUUUUCCUGAAAGGACGAUUCACAAGAAAAAAUAAAUUACCAUUUGAGCUCUCCACAAAUGAGAGAAGCAAUGAAUUUUUGGCUUUUGUUCGAUGACGUUUAUGCGAUUACAGAUACCAUCCUUUGAUGGCCUGGGCUUGUUUUGGUUCCAUGAGAUGAGUAGUCACAAACAUUCCAAAACCAACGACAGAUGAUAGACCAAGCAGGACUAGAAGGCUUGAGCGCCAAAUGAAUAUUCCAUCAUAAAUCUGAAAAAUAUCAGACAGUUAUUAACAAAAUUCAGUCAAAGCAUGCACAAACUGUUGAAAAAAUUCUCAAACUAUGGCAAGGUAGGGUACAGCCAAAAAAAAAAAAAAAAACAACCUUGAUACUACAGCUUAAUUUUUUAAAAUGGGCGGUUCAAUUGACUUUCACAGAAAAAAAAAAAUCAAGAAUAUCAGAAUAUCUACCGCAGCAUAUUUAAGUAAGAAUAGUAAAUUCAAAAAUCAAACAAAAAAUGAGCUUUUGAAAGUAAAAAAGCACCUUCGUUUUUCACCGGUCAAAUCGAAGAAUUCGGCCGGUUCGAGAACUGUGAUCAAUCUUCAGCCAGGGAAAGCACGUCAGGUAAGCACGUUGUACAUCCAUGAUCUUUAGAAAAUAGUGCACCUACGAGUACUUAGCUAAACUUUCUACAUCAGCAACUUUCUCUGCUUCAAGCACUCAUUUAGAAGACAGAGAUUGCGUCUUCUGAAGUUUCACGUGGCGGAGAAACUUCGGUACUUGGGCUGCUCCAUAAAUGCAACGCAGGCCAACUCACAAAGAGCCAUGGCACUUCGGAAUCUGGACUGCAACUCACCACCUAUGCUAGCGCUGGCGCUAGCGUCAGUAAACACUCAUCAAUCGGAAACGUAUAAACCGGAAAUUAUUUUUAAGUUUUAAGUUUCAAUUAAGUUUUAUAAUUUGUAUUAUUUAUUCUUGUUAUUUGAGAAGAAAAUUUUAAUGAAUAUUUGUAUAAUAUAGUAGUUGGUUCUUCAGAUAUAUCCUAAUUAGAAACAUAAAAAAAAAUUAACCUAACCUAACCGAACCACCCGAGGGAUGCCUUACGUAGCGUAACGUAACCUCACCUAACGCAACGUAACCUAACUAAUGGUCUGUUACGUUAGGUUACGUUGCGUUAGGUAAGGUUACGUUAGUUUACGUUACGCCACUCAGGCUUGUGGGGUAAGAUCCUCUAAUUCCCGUCAUCCUAAAAAGGAUAACGUCAUCCUUAAAAGGAUAACGUCAUCCUAAAAAGGAUAACGUCAUCCUAAAAAGGAUAACGUCAUCCUAAAAAGGUUAACGUCAUCCUAAAAAGGAUAACGUCAUCCUAAAAGGGAGAUAACGUAAUCGCAAAGACGAUAACGUAAUCGUAUGUUGAAGGUGGCAUAAGCGUGAAUUUGAAUUUGCCGCGAAAGAAAAAACGGAUGGGAACGGUUGUUAGCCUCGAAAGGAACGGAAUGAAUCAGCCCAAGUACCGAAGUGUCUCGGAGGAGGGGUCAACGGGUCUGCAGAGGAAGAGUGGAGUGGCUGCGAGGAGCAGCCCAUGUACCGAAGUACACCCCCACGUGGGGUGUCCCCUAAUGCUGUUUGGACUGUGAGCUCAGCUUGCUACCAUUGGGCCCAUUGCAAACUUUUGCUAGAGCAAAAUUAAGAGUUGAUGCUUAUAAAAAGUGUCUCAAAAAUCACAAUAAGCGCGUCGGCAAAGUCUGAAAUGCACUUCUUAUUUCACUAUCUGCGUAAGAAAUUUGCAUUUUUUUGAGCUUCCCGCUUUAAAAACAACAUCACGGCACAAGUGGACAUCUCGUUAGAGGAGUCAUUCCAUCCAGCCCCUGCCCUCAAGGAUACUACGCAAUAUUCAACAUAGCCAACGCCUAUCCGCCAAAACACAUAUGACGAGACGAUGAAACUAAUCACCUGAAAACAAUCAGCAAGUUUACAUUCACAUUUUUCUGGCGCUGUUAGAUAUCCGCCUUGAUUGACCUCUUGCUCUCCUUAGCUUGCACGCAGAAGCGUUGGCCAAGUUGAGCAGGGAUUAAAUGGAACGACUCCCCUAACCAAAUGUUCUUCUGUGCUGUAGUAUCCUUUUCGUAGCAGGAAUCUUAAGAAAACGCAAAUUUUCUAAUAGAUAGUGAAGUUAGGAGUGCAUUUCAGAGUUUGCCGAUGCGCUCAUCGCGAUUUUUGAGACAGUAUUUGUAAGGAACAAUUCUUAUUUUUGCUCUAGCAAAAGUUUGCAACAGGCUCAUUGAAUGAACUUUUGAAUCUGAGCAACCAGGGCUUCCUUGAGAGAAUAAUAGACUGAUUUAGUGACUACGUCAUUCAAUUUAAUAUCGAACUCUAUAUCAAAUUCUUGGUUCAAACCAAAACAAACUAACACAACCUCAUGUACGAAUUCCUCAUGAGUUAAUUAAGGUUGUCUUCACAUUGCCGUCCAGUGUCCCCAUAAGACGUCCGCGCUUCACUGUUUCCAACACAUCAAAGAGCGCACAUCACUAUUUCUUCCCACAAUCUGGUGUGUUUACUUAACUAUUUUCUUCGUUUAAAAAAGUGCGCUUAUAAUUUCCUUCGUAUAAAAGAGCGCUUAAUUUUUUUCUUCAGGGCCAGACUAGCCAGGGGUGCAGCACCCUAGGCCCUUGGCUUUUUUUUCCCUGCUACAUGACCUGUAACUUGGUGACUCAAAAUAAAGGUUUUUCAUGAUUACAUCCUUAAUCACAGAAAUGAUCAUUUGAGCUUUUGUGUGGUGGGAAGGGGGGGAGGCUACUAAGUGGGCCGUAAGAGUUCCUUCCUUCAAAGGCUCCAAAUUCAGAUAUUUUUAAUCUUUAAGUCUCUAAAAUUUGUCAUGACGUGCUCUCGAGGAAAUGUGGUUUCCACCUGAGAGGGUCCAGCUUUGAGAAGGUGAUUCUUUAACGUUGGAAAGACCUUAUAACAAAGUGUGGGGCUUUGAACUGCUGGGUCUCGAAAAUAUUUUUUUGCACUAUACAGGCCCCCCCCCCCCCACAAAGGCCCUGGGCCCCUUUAGAGUUGCAGAAAGCCCUUCAUCCUGAAACUGAAGAGGCCGAAAAUUGGAUUUUGUAGGAAGACUCCUGCUCGACAAAAACCCCUCUGUUAGAGGCUCAGUUACUUUUAUCCAUUGAAAGCAGCUGUCUUUCAAGAAUCGAGAAAAUAAUUGAUCGAAUUGCUUUAUCCUCCAACCUCUUUAAGAAGCUUCUGCUAUUUUAAUAUUCCACUCGAUCCUCAGGGAGUCCUUUUUACUUUCUCUUUUUUUACAUUUAACUGACUAGCUUUUUAUCAUUACUCUACGUAAGCUUCUUAAACUCAA
rnacentral:lncRNA from 1 species